AUGACCAUAUCUGAGACGUCCUCGAGAUGCCUGACAGAGUGCAUCACCAUCGCGCACAACUUCGAGGUGAUUAAGUACUCGCUGCUCGAGGGUAUGGGUAUUGGCAAGUCCGUUACCUCGAGCACAUUCAGCGUCGGUUGCUACGACUGGAACAUCCUGAUCUACCCUGAUGGUAGCAAUGAGGAGGACAAAGCUGCCUACAUGUCGGCCCUCUUGUGUUUCUGUAGGGGGGCAACAGCGGGUGUCAAGGUGAAGUUCACUUUGAGUUUAUUGGAGAAAGAUGGGACAGCUAGUGUUAUGGGGGGCGAAACACGUACCUUUCCGCCGGAAGGUCAGACUUGGGGCUGGGCCAAGUUUAUUGACAAGUCUAAGCUGAAGGAACUGCUAUCCCGCAAUGACGACUGCUUCACAAUCAAGUGUGUUUUGACCGUCAUAAAAGACACUCGCACGGAAGAUGCAAGCACAUAUGUAGUUCCACUCCCGCAGUCGGACCUGCACACACACUUUGCAAACAUGUUGAAGGAUGGAGAGGGCAUGGAUGUUACAUUUAGUGUUGGCGGCCAACUCUUCAGUGCACACAGAUGCGUGUUAGCUGCCCGAUCAUCUGUCUUCAGGGAGCUUUUUGGUCAGUUGAAGGAGACUUCCUUGAAACGCAUCGAAAUCGAUGACAUGGAGACAGCCAUCUUUGAGGCACUUCUUCACUUUAUAUACACAGACUCAUUGCCUAGUAACUGGGAUUUGUAUCAGAAUGUGGAAUUGCAGCACAUGCUGGUUGCCGCAGAUCGGUAUGCACUUGACCGGUUAAAGGCUAUGUGUGAAGGGAAGCUAUGCCAGGGAAUCGAUGUGCAAACAGUUGCAACCACCCUUGCGUUAGCGGAGCAGCACCACGCCAUGCAACUCAAGGCUGCUUGUCUCACAUACCUUUCUUCACAGAAGGUGCUUCGAGCUGUCAAGGAGACUGAUGGAUUCAAGCACCUCACAGCAAGCUGCCCAUGGAUUAUGAUGGACAUUUAG
rnacentral:rRNA from 1 species